CCCUUAGAUGUUCUGGGCCGCACGCGCGCUACACUGACGAAUGCAACGAGCUUAUAACCUUGGCCGAAAGGUCUGGGUAAUCUCCAAAUUUCGUCGUGAUGGGGAUAGAUUAUUGCAAUUAUUAAUCUUCAACGAGGAAUGCCUAGUAAGCGCAAGUCAUCAGCUUGCGUUGAUUACGUCCCUGCCCUUUGUACACACCGCCCGUAGCUCCUACCGAUUGAAUGGUCCGGUGAAGCGUUCGGACCGUGGCCUUUGGACGGUUCGCCGUCUGUUGGCUGCGGGAAGUUCGUUAAACCUUAUCAUUUAGAGGAAGGAGAAGUCGUAACA
rnacentral:rRNA from 1 species